UAAUCCACGGGGUUUUCAUAUGCAUGCAUGCAAACACGCCGUCAUCGUACCUUAAUACCGAUGCGUUUGGCUGGUUCCUCUGCAGCCUCUUUUCAUCCAACGACUCCUCCGAAAACUUGUCGGACGCACCAACUCCUCGCUCCUCGGUUACACGCGUCCCUUUUCCUGUUGUUACCGGACUACGCUCCCAUGCUGGAACAAGGGUGGUGAGAGGAUGCGGGUGGCGUUCGGUCAGUGUGAUGCCGUUUCCGCCCUGCGGGCCACACAACCCGCCUACUCGCCCACCGAUGGAGUAAGUAAAACAAUUCAUGCUGCACACGUGUGCAAUGUGAGCUGUGUAAAGAGAACUGCUGCAGGUCGGUGUGGUCAACACGUGGAAAUAUAAGCAAGGCUGCACCAUUAAAGCGAAUGUUUCUCUUCCACCACUGACCAUUAUAAAGGACGCCUUAAUGGAAAAUAGUAUCACCCUCUUUAUGACAUAGCACUUAUUUGUGUCUAUUUUUGAGGUUGCAAGUGUGCGUAAGUGUGCGUGCUGGUUGCACUAUGGGCGUCGAGGCCAGUUUUGAAGAUAGCUGCCAAAAUUGGACAGAUGCUAUUUGCAAAUUAUUUCACAGGUUUCCAUUGAUCCUCCUCAGCGUGCCAGAUGGUUUGCCUUGCAGGGCGACGAAAUGAGUCAUAGAGUUUGAACAAUCACAGGAAAUUAUUUGAGAGUCGAUUAACUGCAUUUUCAUUUGUCCAAGCGCUGAGUGAAGUUAAAAGUGAAGUAUUUUAGUAAGUAAACCUCAGUGCUGGUUUGAGUGGUUGGUCUCCAAUUCAGAACGAUGCCUGUGCUCUCAGUUUAUUCUCUUUUAUCUUUGAGUAGGCGGCAACAUUCCUGGUUUGAAAAUUCGCUUUUGCAACUGCGUAUUUUUCCUGUGACGCCUGCUGCGUCUUGUGGAACGAUUAGUUGCAGAAACACACACAGUUUUUGUUCUGUAUCUCUCGGCUUGAUACAUAUCAGCUAUGCAACAUAAAGACGCCGUGCUGCGCUGAAAUGUCAGGAGGACAGUGACGUCAGAUGCCACAGCGCUGCAUUCCAACUUUGUCUGGUGGGAAGGUGCGUUGGCUUUUGUGGUGCCGGCUGAAGUGUCGCAGAAAGCUCUUCAAAGUUGGCUUCUGCAUAGUUGACUUUGUCAACAAUCCAGUAGCAAGACAUUUUGAUAAAAACCUGUUCGGGUGUCGCAGGGAGCGACCCGGGAGAGAGAAAGGGAAGCUCAAACAAACUGGAUCUUAACGAACUGAAGACAAAAAGUCAGAUGGACAUCAGCUCUGUCUCAAAUCCAAAAUAUUCCCAGGGCCCUUUAGAUAAAUGGCACACGAUGCCUCAGCGCGGCAGUGCGCACUUUAAGAAGUGCCUUAUUGAAGAAAAAAACCCCAGUAAACAGUCAACAUGUGCACAGAAAACAGGGUGACCUAAGCAUGUCUUCGUAAACGGUAUCAUGAAUGGUUGCUUUAUAGUCCCACUUGUAGAGUAACAGAAUAUGUCCACUUGCAUCAUUAUGUUAUCUGAUAUAAUAUUGCCUUUAAAAUUUAGAUUUAGUUUUUUACUGUGGCAUUAAGUCAUUACUUUGAAACGGUACUAUAAAGAAUGGAUUAACAUUCCUUAGGUUCUCAUUUAGCAAAGGAGGCAAUACAAAUGCAUUUCAGCAUUACGGUUGAGGAACUGAUGCUGGUUCAUUUCCUUCAAUAGCGUUUUGCCAUAGUUAUCUAAAUAGACACAGUUAGCUUUUUGCCCACUAAAAGAUGAUCUGCAUCAUUUAAGCCUAAUGUGUUGAAUGUAUUUAGUUCCUCAUUAGUGGUUUUUAGUUGACUUGAAUUUCAAACCUGGAUUGAUCCCGAGACUGUGGAUUCUCUGCAGCUGCAUGAGAUACAUCACCCUCUUAAAAGCACCUUUACGUGUUAGAAUACAUUUAUUUAAGAUGAAACAUUAAUGGAGUGUAAAAUAUUGCAGCACUUCUGAAGUCUAGUUUAUCUGUUUUAAAAUGAGCACAUUUGUAGUUUGACCUCGCCAUCAACACAGUUACACAGACUAUAAGUUGUUUGGUAACUUGAAAGCGGCGGUUAUUUGAAAUGCAUAAAAUGUGACGUAUACCGACAUACGAUAACAAAUGUUGAGUUUACUGAAAGCACCUUCCCAUUGUCCUAUUGACGCUGUACAAUGGCCGUCCUCAAAGAAUAGCGUGCGGUGAAACCGUCGCCCCCCCCCGCCCCGCCCCGUGGUGCCUCCGUGUCUGCUGUCCGCCCCGCGUGCAGGAG
ensembl:lncRNA